UGAUUUUUCAGAUCUAAAUUG
rnacentral:piRNA from 1 species